rnacentral:rRNA from 1 species
UACGUAGGGACCAAGCGUUGUUCGGAUUUACUGGGCGUAAAGGGCGCGUAGGCGGGAUGGCAAGUCAGUCGUGAAAUCUCUCGGCUCAACCGAGAAACGUCGGCUGAUACUGCCGUUCUUGAGGGAUGCAGAGGAGACUGGAAUUCCCGGUGUAGCGGUGAAAUGUGUAGAGAUCGGGAGGAACACCGGUGGCGAAGGCGGGUCUCUGGGCAUCUCCUGACGCUGAGGCGCGAAAGCGUGGGGAGCAAACGGG